AUGGUGUGUGUCCUAGGCUUUCCCAUGCACGUAAGCUGGUGGUCUCUGCCUUACAUGAUAUAUCUGCCCAUCAUGCCAACUUCCCUCAGCUCUCUUUCUUCCUCUACAGGCUGCCAGGGCAGCGAGGUGUUUCCACUUGGCUCAACAUUGGCCAUCACUUUCUCCAGGCUUCUAAGAGCCAUCCUAACAAACAAAGCCUUGUUGAAACCUAAGUGACUAACUGGACUGAGAUAACAAGACCCAGAAAAGAGAAGCCAGAAACAAACACAUAAGUAAAUCAGACAAGGAAGAGACCAUGGUCCACAUGGUAAGUGGUGAUGGGGAAACUUACCAGUCAUGGGCUUUUAAAAAGAUUUUCUCAGGGAUUACUAUGAUAUAUCUUUGUCCCAAGGUAGAAAAAGGGUUAUUUAGGGGUAUGAGAUCUUUCUAGCACCCUUCAAAUCCUGGCCAGUUUUAAGUAUGAGCUGAGGUAGGUGCAUGGAAAAUUCAGGUGUUAUCUGCAGAUGUGAUCAUCAAAGCUGAUAGAAUAGGAUGUUUUAGGAGAAAAUAAACUGUAAAGAAAGAGCUGAUGGUUGGAGACCAAUGAAAUCAUUGAACUUGC
rnacentral:lncRNA from 1 species